CCUGACACCAACAGAACAGCUUCUUGCACAGCAAUGGCAGCCCCUUUCCCUGACUCACAGAUCUUCUAUUUGAGAAGGGGAAUUAAUUUACACAAGAAAGCCAGGCACGGUGUCUCACGCCUGUAAUCCCAGAACUUUGGAGGCUGAGGCAGGCAGAUCACUUGAGGUCAGGAGUUCAAGACCAGCCUGGCCAACAUGGUGCAACCCCAUCUCUACUAAAAGUACAAAAAUUAGCUGGGUGUAGUAGUGCAAGCCUGUAAUCCCAGUUACUCAGGAGGCUGAGGCGGAAGAAUCGCUUGAACCUGGGAGGCGGAGGUUGCAGUGAGCCAAGAUCGUGCCGCUGCACUUCAGCCUGGGCGACAGAGCGAGACUCCAUCUCAAAGAAAA
rnacentral:lncRNA from 10 species